rnacentral:rRNA from 1 species
AAACCAGCACCUCAAGUGGUCAGGAUGAUUAUUGGGCCUAAAGCAUCCGUAGCCUGCUGCAUAAGUUUUCGGUUAAAUCCAUACGCUCAACGUAUGGGCUGCCGGGAAUACUGUGCAGCUAGGGAGUGGGAGAGGUAGACGGUACUCGGUAGGAAGGGGUAAAAUCCUUUGAUCUAUUGAUGACCACCUGUGGCGAAGGCGGUCUACCAGAACACGUUCGACGGUGAGGGAUGAAAGCUGGGGGAGCAAACCGGAUUAGAAACCCCAGUAGUCC